rnacentral:lncRNA from 1 species
UGUGCUAGGGAGAUUUAUUUGUUGAUUGAGGUCACAUAUCACUAAACUUUAAUCUGAAAGUUGGACGUGUAGAACUAGAUUUGUUUGACCGUUCCUUCCAUUUCUGGUGAAAACCAUUUGAUCUUGAUGUUGUAAUCUAAGGGAGGGCGCCCCCCCCCCCCAUAAAAUUCUGUGAUUAUUUGAUAAUAUAAUAAUUAAUAUAAGGGUUGUUGUACACCAUGUGGACGCGCUUGC